rnacentral:rRNA from 1 species
AUUGAACGCUGGCGGCAGGCUUAACACAUGCAAGUCGAACGAGUGGCGGACGGGUGAGUAAUGUCUGGGAAACUGCCUGAUGGAGGGGGCUAACUACUGGAAACGGUAGCUAAUACCGCAUACCAUCAGAUGUGCCCAGAUGGGAUUAGCUAGUGGGUGGGGUAACGGCUCACCAAGGCGACGAUCCCUAGCUGGUCUGAGAGGAUGACCAGCCACACUGGAACUGAGACACGGUCCAUACUCCUACGGGAGGCAGCAGUGGGGAAUAUUGCACGGUGGGCGCAAGCCUGAUACAGCCAUGCCGCGUGUGUGAAGAAGGCCUUCGGGUUGUAAAGCACUUUCAGCGGGGAGGCGUUACUCGCAGAAGAAGCACCGGCUAACUCCGUGCCAGCAGCCGCGGUAAUUC